rnacentral:lncRNA from 1 species
CAGACGGGAGGAGAGGCCUUACAGCGCCCUAAUGUGUCCCCACAGCCAUAUCAAGAACAGGAGGAGAACCUCAUCCUGACAUGAGCAAAGUCGAAGGUCUGAUUCUUUUAGACCGGAUUAGGGGGAGAGACCCUGGCGAUGGCCCUUAUGUGCCCCCGCGGGAAUGAGAGGAGAAUCUCAUCCUGAUGGUGAUGAAGCCUGACCGCCCA